GCCUCUGUGGCGCAGCGGUAGCGCGCUUGUCUGUGACACCAGGGGUCCCGGGUUCGAAUCCCGGCCAGGGCA
rnacentral:tRNA from 1 species